UGACAACCCAGUCUCAUGAAAAAACGUACCCUGACUACGUUGGUCCAAUUUGCAAAACGUGGAGGGGUUACAAUAAUGGCCCUAGAAUUGUAUGACUGUUACAUUUUUUUUUCGCCUAUUCUUUUAAUGGCCCUUGAAUUGUAUGACUGUUACGUUUUUCUUUCGUCCAAGUCACGUGACUUUCAAGCUACCGGCCGUGAGAACAAAAAAACAUGGCGGACAUUUCUCUCAUUUUUAGUGGAAAAAUCUAUAUUGUGAGUUAGUUUCUGCAUAAAAAUAAGUUUUGAUUACAUUUCUAGCGAGAAAUAUAUAUUUUAUUUUCAUAAUAUGCACUCAGUGAAUUUACAUAAUCACUCGCUUGCUCGAUGUUACGCAGAUUUUUCAGAUCUCGCCAGAAUAAUGUAAAACUGAUACGUUUUUGGUUGCUAUGGUUGCUGCCAGGGCUCGUCACAUGACGUCUUCUACAGACUAUAAUAAAUAAGAAUAAAUAGGAAGAGGCAACAAUAAAUGAUCUAUGCCAGCGCAAGUCAAUAUUUAUCUGGCCAGUCAACUGGUUUUUAAUUUUAAAAAUCCCUCGCAGUCUGAACUGCAACAGCACGGUCUGCGGUGAGUUAAACAACGUUCAACUGCAGGAUCAAUAGCAUUCAGCGGUGAGUUUAACAACCCUCAAAUGCGGUUAAAACAACAUUCAGAGGGAAGCUUUAUUUAAACCGCGUUCAACUGCAGAUAAAACAACAUUCAGAGGUGACUUUAACAACGCUCCACGGCGCGUGGGAGUAGCAUUUUAAGCGUUUUCUGAUCAUGUAGGUAAGUGCUUUGAUUACCUUUAGACGUGAUGCAUGCUGGGAGGCAAAUAUUUUUUUAUCAAAGGCUCGUUGAUGGUAAUAAAUAUACAUAUAAAUAUACAUUUUACUAUACUACGAUUGUGUUCGAUUAAUUAAUGGGUUGUUUAAUUAUUAAUUUGUUUAUUUUAAAUCCUGUAAUUUAACAACUCUGACGUCAUCGAAUGCGACGAUGCCAAGGUCCAUUGCGAUUUCCACUCGAAUUUGCCUUUGAAAGCCUACAGCGAACGGACGGUUUGGACUUCAGCCCUCUACUUCCUGCUUUAAUGAUGUCACUAGAACAGUUUUUUGACUAAACUCCACCCACAGGAAUACAUCAGUGGCCAGCUAAGCUAACGGUGCGAGCCAAGCCAAUUUUAUUUAUUGGGAAACAGGAUAAAAAGGCUUCGAAUAAGUGGGUUGCAUAUAUUAUUACCCAUUGGCACCCCACUCCUGUCACUACAAUUUUUUGGAGGAGAUGCGGAGGUCUUUAUCUUGACAAAAGGUCAGAGUAAUGUUUAUGUUUAGAGAUUUAGGAUUUAAAAUACAUGUAUAUUCCUUUGUUGAUAUGUACAGAUUUUAUGAUGAAAGUAAACUUGUAUUAUAGCAACCUCCACAGGACAGCAGCCUGAGAGCCUUGCCAUGGAGCGGCCUGAGAGCCCUGCUGUGAAAUGGCUGGAGAACCUCACCAAGAAGUCUGAGGCUAUAUUUGUACUAAAUCUUGUUCUUCUGUCUUCUAGACUCUCUCCAACCUCUCUUGCUCCUACUACCUCUACUGCUUUUACAACAAUUUUCUCUCCACUUUUUUCCCCACCUUCACUGCCAUGCUCUAAGUUUUUGCCACAGAGGAAGAUAAAGAAAUCUACCUCUUCCCACUAUACCACACUUGUCUCUCUUCAAUUUGCAUCUGUCUCUUCCAGUUCUAAAUCUCAGAAGUGGCCACUGGUGAAGAACAGAAUGAAGGAUAACUUUUCCUGUUACAUCUUACUCCACAAUUUGCUCCUAGUCAAAUAUGUCUUCAUGUUAAUUAAAUUCAUUUAGCUAACCAGGUAUUUGUUAGCCAGUUCACAGUGUUUUAGAGCCCAAUGUCCAAGGACUGUGGUCAAUGUAAAUUCCUGACUUAAAGGGACACUUCACUUUUUUUUGCUAAUUUUCCAGCAGUAAGUUUUACCGUUUUAGAAUCCAUUCAGCUGAUCUCUGCGUCUGGCACUACCACUUUUAGCAUAGCUUAGCAUAAUACAUUGAAUCUGAUUAGGCCAUUACCAUCACGCCAAAAAAUUACCAAAGAGUUUCGAUAUUUUUCCUAUUUAAAACUUGACUUGUACUAAGACAGACGGAAAAUUUAAAGUUGUGAUUUUCUCAGCUGAUAUUUCUAGGAACUAUACUCUUAUUCUGUCGUAAUAAUCAAGGACUUUGCUGUCGUAACAUGGCUGCAGAAGGCAUAAUGAUAUAACGCAGUGCCCGAAAAUAGUCCCCUUAGUAUCUUUCAAUAGCAGGGGCAAUUUUCGGGCACUGCGUAAUAUCAUUUUGGUUGAUUGACAAAAACAAGCACAAAUUUGUUUGACACUAAUGGAAAGGACUGCAUAUCACUUCACAUAAAUAUGGACUCAUGUGAUUCACCUACAAAGCAUGGCAUUCAUGGCUUAAUAAACUUUUUGUCUUUUCAUCAUUUCAGGUUGCUGAAAAUGUAGUUGGCAGAAGGUUUCCUUUUCGAUAAAAUAACUGGGGAACAGAUAAAUGAGAGGAAAGCCGAAUUGAAAGUUCACUGGUUACGUGCUCUGUGUGUGGAAAAACUUGGGAUGACACAUAGGAGCCUGCCAGCGAAUUCCAACACAAGUCCCCACAUCCCAACCAGUUUUCAGCAUGACAGCCUACACCUUUACAUUAUCAAGCACCCUUCAACUGUUUAAUUUUGAGUGUCUUUGCUUGCUGUUCUUUAUUAAAGUUUUUGCACAGUA